rnacentral:rRNA from 1 species
GACGAACGCUGGCGGCGUGCCUAAUACAUGCAAGUAGAACGCACAGUUUAUACCGUAGCUUGCUACACCAUAGACUGUGAGUUGCGAACGGGUGAGUAACGCGUAGGUAACCUGCCUGGUAGCGGGGGAUAACUAUUGGAAACGAUAGCUAAUACCGCAUAAUAUUAAUUAUUGCAUGAUAAUUAAUUGAAAGGUGCAAUUGCACCACUACCAGAUGGACCUGCGCUGUAUUAGCUAGUAGGUGAGGUAACGGCUCACCUAGGCGACGAUACAUAGCCGACCUGAGAGGGUGAUCGGCCACACUGGGACUGAGACACGGCCCAGACUCCUACGGGAGGCAGCAGUAGGGAAUCUUCGGCAAUGGACGAAAGUCUGACCGAGCAACGCCGCGUGAGUGAAGAAGGUUUUCGGAUCGUAAAGCUCUGUUGUAAGAGAAGAACGGGUGCGAGAGUGGAAAGUUCACACUGUGACGGUAGCUUACCAGAAAGGGACGGCUAACUACGUG